rnacentral:rRNA from 1 species
UACGUAGGGUGCAAGCGUUUGUCCGGAAUUAUUGGGCGUAAAGAGCUCGUAGGCGGUCUGUCGCGUCUGCUGUGAAAACCUAGGGCUUAACUCUGGGCGUGCAGUGGGUACGGGCAGGCUAGAGUGCGGUAGGGGAGACUGGAAUUCCUGGUGUAGCGGUGAAAUGCGCAGAUAUCAGGAGGAACACCGGUGGCGAAGGCGGGUCUCUGGGCCGUAACUGACGCUGAGGAGCGAAAGCAUGGGGGAGCGAACAGGG